GGCUAGUAGAAAAUGAUAUGGCAACUGAUGCAGUUAAAAUGGCUUUUUUUUUUUUUUUUGUGACUUUCAGAAAUACAUGGGAGAUUGCAUGUGAAACAUUCCUGAAAUGAACUGUGUCAUUGUGUCAUUUUCCUCUGCUGAGAACAACUCUAACCUGAGGUACAAUGCAGGAAGGAUCUGUAGCCAGAUGCCAGUGGGAGGAAGAUGACACACCAGCUGGAUGUUUGGUUUAUCAGGCAAGGCUGAAAUGGCACACCUGGGAAGAUGGAAUAUGGGCCAUACUAAGCAUGUUUGCAGGUGAUGCUAAAUUAGGAGAA